rnacentral:tRNA from 1 species
GCGCAUGCAGCUUAGUGGAUAGAGCGCUUGUUUCCUAAGCUAAAGGUCGUAGGUUCGACCCCUGCCUGGCGCA